rnacentral:rRNA from 1 species
CUCUGUGACUCCUACGGGAGGCGAGCAGUGGGGAAGUAUUGCACAAUGGGGGAAACCCUGAUGCAGCCAUGCCGCGUGUGUGAAGAAGGCCUUCGGGUUGUAAAGCACUUUCAGUAGGGAGGAAGGUAGUGUAGUUAACACCUGCAUUAUUUGACGUUACCUACAGAAGAAGCACCGGCUAACUCCGUGCCAGCAGCCGCGGUAAUACGGAGGGUGCGAGCGUUAAUCGGAAUUACUGGGCGUAAAGCGCAUGCAGGCGGCCUGUUAAGUCAGAUGUGAAAGCCCCGGGGCUUAACCUCGGAAUUGCAUUUGAAACUGGCAGGCUAGAGUCUUGUAGAGGGGGUAGAAUUUCAGGUGUAGCGGUGAAAUGCGUAGAGAUCUGAAGGAAUACCAGUGGCGAAGGCGGCCCCCUGGACAAAGACUGACGCUCAGAUGCGAAAGCGUGGGGAGCAAACAGGAUUAGAUACCCUGGAG